rnacentral:rRNA from 1 species
GAUGAACGCUAGCUACAGGCUUAACACAUGCAAGUCGAGGGACCGGCGCACGGUAAACUAACACGUAUCCAACCAGCCCUUUACUCGGGGAUAGCCUUGCGAAAGAAAGAUUAAUACCCUAUGUAAAAGAUGGGGAUGCGUUACAUUAGGUUGGUGGUGAGGUAACGGCUCACCAAGCCUUCGAAGGAUAGCGGUUAUGAGAGGAAGGUCCCCUGCAACUGAACUGAGACACGGUCUAAACUCCUACGGGAGACAGCAGUGAGGAAUACUGGUCAAUGGUCGUUAGCCUGAACCAGCCCAGUAUAGUUACGGAUUAAGGCUUUUGUGUCGUAAACUUCUUUUAUAUAAGAAUAUGUAUUAUAUGAAUAAGGAUCGGCUAACUCCGUGCCAGCAGCCGCGGUAAUUC